rnacentral:rRNA from 1 species
GUACGGCGAGUGAAGCGGCAAGAGCUCAAAUUUGAAAGCUGGCUCCUUCGGGGUCCGCAUUGUAAUUUGCAGAGGAUGCUUCGGGAGCGGUCCCCAUCUAAGUGCCCUGGAACGGGACGUCAUAGAGGGUGAGAAUCCCGUAUGGGAUGGGGUGUCCGCGCCCGUGUGAAGCUCCUUCGACGAGUCGAGUUGUUUGGGAAUGCAGCUCUAAAUGGGUGGUAAAUUUCAUCUAAAGCUAAAUAUUGGCCGGAGACCGAUAGCGCACAAGUAGAGUGAUCGAAAGAUGAAAAGCACUUUGAAAAGAGAGUUAAAAAGCACGUGAAAUUGUUGAAAGGGAAGCGCUUGCGACCAGACUCGCUCGUGGGGUUCAGCCGGCAUUCGUGCCGGUGUACUUCCCCGCGAGCGGGCCAGCGUCGGUUUGGGCGGUCGGU